UACUCUUUUUUUUUUUCAGUUCACAGGUUUAUUUUUACUCUUUUUUUUUUUCUUCUUCAAAUACGAGAUCUUAACAAGAAUUGGGAAAAAGA
rnacentral:ribozyme from 13 species